GACGAACGCUGGCGGCGUGCCUAAUACAUGCAAGUCGAACGCUUCUUUCCUCCCGAGUGCUUGCACUCAAUUGGAAAGAGGAGUGGCGGACGGGUGAGUAACACGUGGGUAACCUACCCAUCAGAGGGGGAUAACACUUGGAAACAGGUGCUAAUACCGCAUAACAGUUUAUGCCGCAUGGCAUAAGAGUGAAAGGCGCUUUCGGGUGUCGUUGAUGGAUGGACCCGCGGUGCAUUAGCUAGUUGGUGAGGUAACGGCUCACCAAGGCCACGAUGCAUAGCCGACCUGAGAGGGUGAUCGGCCACACUGGGACUGAGACACGGCCCAGACUCCUACGGGAGGCAGCAGUAGGGAAUCUUCGGCAAUGGACGAAAGUCUGACCGAGCAACGCCGCGUGAGUGAAGAAGGUUUUCGGAUCGUAAAACUCUGUUGUUAGAGAAGAACAAGGACGUUAGUAACUGAACGUCCCCUGACGGUAUCUAACCAGAAAGCCACGGCUAACUACGUGCCAGCAGCCGCGGUAAUACGUAGGUGGCAAGCGUUGUCCGGAUUUAUUGGGCGUAAAGCGAGCGCAGGCGGUUUCUUAAGUCUGAUGUGAAAGCCCCCGGCUCAACCGGGGAGGGUCAUUGGAAACUGGGAGACUUGAGUGCAGAAGAGGAGAGUGGAAUUCCAUGUGUAGCGGUGAAAUGCGUAGAUAUAUGGAGGAACACCAGUGGCGAAGGCGGCUCUCUGGUCUGUAACUGACGCUGAGGCUCGAAAGCGUGGGGAGCAAACAGG
rnacentral:rRNA from 1 species